rnacentral:rRNA from 1 species
AUACGGAGGAUCCGAGCGUUAUCCGGAUUUAUUGGGUUUAAAGGGUGCGCAGGCGGGAGAUUAAGUCGGCGGUGAAAUUUUGCAGCUCAACUGUAAAAGGGCCUUCGAAACUGGUUUCCUUGAGUGUAGAUGAAGUAGGCGGAAUUUGUGGUGUAGCGGUGAAAUGCAUAGAUAUCACGAGGAACUCCGAUUGCGCAGGCAGCUUACUAAACUACUACUGACGCUCAGGCACGAAGGCGUGGGGAUCAAACAGGGUUAGAUACCCUGGUAGUCCACGCAGUAAACGAUGAUUACUAGCUGUUUGCGAUACAAUGUAAGCGGCUGAGCGAAAGCGUUAAGUAAUCCACCUGGGGAGUACGUUCGCAAGAAUGAAACUCAAAUGAAUUGGCGGGG